rnacentral:rRNA from 1 species
CCUACGGGUGGCAGCAGUGAGGAAUAUUGGUCAAUGGCCGCAAGGCUGAACCAGCCAAGUCGCGUGAGGGAUGACGGUCCUAUGGAUUGUAAACCUCUUUUGUCAGGGAGCAAAGGGCGCCACGUGUGGCGCCUUGCGAGUACCUGAAGAAAAAGCAUCGGCUAACUCCGUGCCAGCAGCCGCGGUAAUACGGAGGGUGCAAGCGUUACUCGGAAUUACUGGGCGUAAAGGGCGCGUAGGCGGGAUAGUAAGUCAGUUGUGAAAUUCUAGGGCUUAACCAUAAAAUUGCAUUUGAAACUGUUAUUCUAGAGUAUGGGAGAGGUAGGUGGAAUUCUUGGUGUAGCGGUGAAAUCCGUAGAGAUCACGAGGAAUACCGAUUGCGAAGGCGACCCGCUAGACCAUAACUGACGCUGAUGCGCGAAAGCGUGGGGAGCAAACAGGAUUAGAUACCCCGGUAGUC